UUCAACAUAUAAGAAGGGUGUGAAAAGAGCUUCCAUGGGCUUGUGGCCCAAACCACAUUACAAGACCAAAAGAGAGGGUAAUGGUUCAGUAGUGUGGUCACUUUAACCUCACGUGUUCAGAUCAAUGUGUUUCACCUUAAAAUAACUUUGGCCAGAGUUCCUUAGCUCCGCCACGCCGGAAAUCAGCUCCGGCGGCGGCAGAGUGCCAAACACCACGAACCUUAUAUCAUACUCCUUAGUUCACUCCCCUCUUUCUCCCUAUCAUGUUCGUUUCCCCUAAAUCCAAAUCUAUCAAUGAAAUCG
rnacentral:lncRNA from 1 species